UAAUUCUAGAAUCUAGACUAGAAGCAUUUCCCUGUUCUUGCUCACCAACAUACCCCAUUUGCUUUUCAACCAACUUUUUUCCUUUUUCCCUUCUGCCUUUUAGUUUUGGCUUAGUCUUCACUUCCAAUUUUGGGUUAUGGCAGGAGGAUGCACAAAACAGGGUUUACUUAACAAAAGAGCUCGAUAGAAUUACAAGUCAGGUCUUGAAUCACUUCGAGGAGAUACUACCUUUUCCAAGCUCUUUGGAAAAAUGUUUGUGCUGAUCAUAUUCAAGGGUUGGCUAUUGCACUCACGUACGAGGUCUUGAAUCACUUCGAGGAAAUACUACCUUUUCCAAGCUCUUUGGGAAAAAUGUUUGCAUUGAUCAUAUUCAAGGGUUGGCUGUUGUACUCAUGUACGAGGAUAAGAAGUCAUUGAAGUUGACGCCCGAUGAUCAUUUGCAUUUGGAGGGAUUUGCAUUGAAUCUUUUCACAAAGGCAGACGAAUAAGAUCUAGCUGGACAAGCGGACUUGUAAGAGUCAUUUAAACUACAUCAUGUGACGUUUGUUUAUAUUUAAACUUUUCUUAAUCGAAAUUAAUGGUCAUUGACUUGUAUUUGUAAAGAAAACACUUUGCCUGUUCUAUCCGGUUUAUCCUCGUUCCGCAUAAUGUAUAUAUUGGAGAUCCUUGAACAGUUCGGUGAACUCCAGCGUGAUGUGAGUUUUCAUCAUACCACAAUAAUAUCAAUAUAUUUUUUUCACUUGGUCGUUCGUCCUAUUUUUUUCUUCUUUUGGGUGGGAGUUGGGGUUGGAGGUGGGUACAGGGUCUAACAAUGCAAAUACAGUUUUUCCCCGCAUCAUUGUGGGUCUUGUAAGUUUGAAUAAAUAUGUCUUUAUGUAUGGGUAAUCUCUAUUUACCCUCUGUGUGUUUUUCCCGUCUAUUUAACGUGUUUGUUGUUUCCAUUUGUGACCUUGUUCCUUGACCUUUUUAUCUGUCAACAGCUUGAGCAGAAACAUAAAUAUGUAGUUUGGAAGGCAGCAAAUAUAAGGAAAGCUAUAAAAAAAGACGAAAGCCUGUUUCAGUCCCUCCUAGUAGUGAUGAUGGUUUUCAUUGUCGGACCUUCCUGGUCUUAAGUCCAUAAGGAAUGUAAAUUUCAUUGUCAGGUAUUCUCUAUUUGAAAAUAUCUUGGCCAUGUCCUUAUGGACUUAAGACCAAACAUUUUAAAGGAUUUUAACUAUUCCAUUAAGGUUGAAUUUACAUUCUCACUAUUCAUCUCUCACUCUCUCUCUUCCUCUCUUUUAACAAAAAAAAAGAUUUACGAGCAUUGUGGAAAGCUGCCUUCCCUGUGGAAGAACUCCAUGAUUUAAUAUCUGAGCAAUGGAAGGAAAUAGGUUGGCAAGGAAAGAAUCUAUCUACUGACUUUAGGUACAUCAGCAUCUCUCAUUCCUUCCCUUCUCAAGGCAUCCAGAAACAAGAAAGCACUGGUGGUUGAGCUUAUCAAUAUUUUACGUUCUUCUGCCCUUUCUGAUCCUUCCACUAUUGGUUCACCACUGACAUAUUGUGGUUGGUUUUGAUAGGGGUGCCAUAUUUAUAUCACUGGAGAACUUGUUAUAUUUUGCAAGAAAUUUCCUGGUACAUCCUUUUUCUGACUUCUCUUUAUGGAGAGGUAACAUAGUGAACUGUAAACCUUUUAUGCCUUUAAUUAGAAGUUAUUCUAAGCAUUAACAAGUGCUAUUUUUUUGGUAAUCAUUGUUUCUUCUUAAAAUUAAAUUGGUCUUAAUGAUUAUCUUCGAAAUGGUGGUUAUUAGUCGGAUGUUGUCUUAAUAAAUUGAUGCAAUUACCAAAGUAUGAUUCUAUUUGAUUCCUUAACCUUUAAAAAUAUAUUUGUAGUUGGGAGGGUUUUGGUUGAUGGGCAUCUUAAAGGAUGGUUCAAGUGUUCUCCAAUUCCUUGCUAUUGUCAAACAGAAAAUUUUAGCAGACACCCUUCUGUUUUCUUUGAGAUAGCAUAACAUCUAAAAUUUCUACUAUAUGGAAAAGCGGGUGGAGGAACGACCAAGGGCAAACCAAUAAUUUCACACUAAUAAAAAUCCUCUCUUUCCACACAAUUCAUUUCUUUGGAUAUAAUUCGUCAGACAGAAAAAAGCUCAAAUUUAUUUUUACUUAUCUGUUCUUUUAUCUCAUCUUCUUGUGUUGCGGAUGUCAGGUUAGCUUUUAUCUCAUUUCCUCCUAAAUUUCUUUCAUUUUUUCCCUAUUUGUUAAUUUUAUGACUUAUUCUAACUUUCCCUCUUAAUGUUCUAGGGUGUGAAUUUUCUUCCUUAUUUCUCUUUAUUCACUUUAAUUUGUUGAUAUUUAUUUUGAUCAAAUCAAACUUUCAGAGACUAUAUCUUCAGUAUGAACUUCAUCUUCUCCAUUUGGUGUUUCAAUGUUAGGUAUGUUUUCUUUCGAUUUUUUAUUUGAAAUUUAUGGUUGAUAUUAUUAUUGUUUUGCCUAAUAUCUCUCCAAUUUCGUGGUUAAAGUGGAGAUUUUUUUAUUGUUUCAUAAUAGGCCUUUAGAAGACAACACAUUAUGUGUAUUAUUUUAGAUUGGGAUACAUAAUAUUUAAGACUUGGAUGCCUUAAUUGUCAAAUAUCUCAACUGGAUUAAGUAGACUAUUCCUAAAAAUGAUGUUGAUGAUCUAAGAAUCAUUGCUUAGUAGUCUAUGGGACAUUCCCAAAAUAACAAGGAUGCUUAAGUCUAAUAGAGUAGCUAAUUAUUUUGGUGCACCUACAGCUAGCCAUCAACGAGUCGAAAUGUUGUGUGCACAUAGAGCCGUAAUAGUCCAAGAUUUAUCCCAUUUGGAGGAAAAAUGAAAAAUAAAUCUUACUAUGAAGUGAAUAUAAGAAAAUGUAUAAGUGUUUCUUCAUUAUUCACAAAUAAUCUACAAUUUGAAAAUUAAUUAUAUUGCAAUAUAUUAACAGAAGUUUCCUUAUGUGGAGAAAAAGCACUCGAGAUGACCAUAUAUAAAGAUAUCCAUAAGCAGGAAUAAGAGGCAAUUAUGAUUUUCAUUAUUAUGUAAACUACUUUAGCAAAAAUUAGGACAAUAAAUUUUUAUAUGUUUAUUUAGAUAAAGUUGAGACAGCGGGGUCAAUAGAAAUUUAUGAGCUUUUGACUUAAAUGUGUGGCCUAUGUAUUUGUAGACUGCGAAAGUCAAGCUUCAGGUAUUUGCAAGUCUUUACUUCUAUUAUCUGCUUACUGAUAUUAACUAGAAGCUAAAUUAAUUUUUUAUCAUUUUGGAAAAUACUUUUGACUGUUGAUAUUUUUUAUCCGAAGAUUUAGCUAAUUGCAGUUAAUAUAGAUAAGGUUCAUAACCCUGAUUUAGAAAGCAUGACUAUGAUACAUGAACAAUCGCCAAAAGUAUCAUGGUAAGCUUCUUAUACACUAUAUUUUUAAUCUCAUUUCAUCAAACACACUCUACCAUCAUAGAGAUUUUAAGAUAGUGUAUAUGAUAAAGAACUAUGAAUAAUUUAAAUUUAUAUAUGGCUUGAGCAAAUUAAGACAGACUGCUAUUUUAUUUGUUGUUUCCAAAAUAUAGAAGAGGUAUGAUGUUGAAAAAAAAUGAUUGAUUUAUAAAAGCUUUGCUUACAAUAAACCUAUACUUCAUUUUAGAGAAUGUUUUAGCAAGAGUAUUUAGUAAUUGUGGCAUGUAUAGUCUGAGAAGUAUACAAAUAUUGAUGUCAGAUCGAUCAGAUCUUUCAUUUGAGUUAUGUUUUAUUUCAUUAUUACAAGAUUAGAUUUUUCUUUUGAUUAGUAGCACUAACAAUUGUACAUCAAUGCUAUAUUCAUAAAUUAAAAAUGGCUUUAGCUUGGUAGAUUAAGCAUUGCCCUGUGUAGUUUGUCUGGGAGCUAAGGAAGACGGUAAAAAAGGAAAGUAUGGUGAUAAUAACUUCUCGAACAUUUUAAUUUAUCAAAUCUACACAAUUUAUUGGUUUAAAAACUUCGUAAGAUGAAAAGUUCGUCUUCUAAUUGGCCUGAAAUGACAGUGAGCUAGAGAUAUACAUCCCUAGGCUAAAUUAUAGAACAGUAUGUUGAUAAUUUGAAAUGAAGAAAGAUGACUCAUAUGAAUUCAUACUGAUAGGAGUAGAUACUUUAGUGCAUCUCUUUGAAUUGAUAAUUAUACAUAAUCGAUUAGAAAUAUUUAUUUAGGAGAUGAAAGUAGAUGGAAGAGAUAACAUCAAAUAUAGAGGUGCUAGAUAGUGAUAAAUAUAAGUUUGUGUUUUUUUCUUGUACUUGGCAAAAUGAGAUAUUUUGUCGUAAUUACAUUAAAUUAUAAAAUAAUUUUAUGAAAUUAUCGUAGGUGGAUAUUAAAUAAUGACAUUCCAAAGUGAUUUAUCAUAUGUCAAUUGGUUGAAAGUUGUCGUCGAAGAAGAAAAAUUCUAGAAUGCGCUACCAACAAGAAGUUUGUAAUGACGUGUACGACACAAAGAUUACUGCCAGAAUGUGCUACCAACUUCAAGUUUGUAAUGACGUGAGGACGCCACUAAGAUUAUUGCCAUUGAGUCGUGAAAAUUACAAUGUCUAAUUCAGAAAUUCAAGAUUAGAAAAAAGAAGUCUUUCAUGUAAAUUUAUAUCAUUUUUAUUUAUUUUGAGCAAUAUGUCUUGAGAUACCCGUUGGACUUAUUAACAGUUCCAUAAUGCUUAACUAUAUCAAAAUAUUAUUUUAGAGUG